UACGUAGGGGGCAAGCGUUGUCCGGAAUCAUUGGGCGUAAAGAGCGUGUAGGCGGCUCGAUAAGUCUGCUGUGAAAGUCCAGGGCUCAACCCUGGAAGGCCGGUGGAAACUGUCGGGCUAGAGUCCGGAAGAGGCGAGUGGAAUUCCCGGUGUAGCGGUGAAAUGCGCAGAUAUCGGGAGGAACACCAAUGGCGAAGGCAGCUCGCUGGGACGGUACUGACGCUAAGGCGCGAAAGCGUGGGGAGCGAACAGG
rnacentral:rRNA from 1 species